GCUUAUCACCAUUCCAGAUUGAAUAUACCCGAUCUCGUCUGAUCUCGGAAGUCAAGCAAUCUCGGGCUUGGUUAGUACUU
rnacentral:rRNA from 1 species